GACGAACGCUGGCGGCGUGCCUAAUACAUGCAAGUCGAGCGGACAGAAGGGAGCUUGCUCCCGGAAGUUAGCGGCGGACGGGUGAGUAACACGUGGGCAACCUACCCUGUAGAUCGGGAUAACAUCGAGAAAUUGGUGCUAAUACCGGAUAAUCAUUUGAAGUGCAUGCUUCGAAUGUAAAAGAUGGCUCCGGCUAUCACUCCGGGAUGUGCCCGCGGCGCAUUAGCUAGUUGGUAAGGUAAUGGCUUACCAAGGCAACGAUGCGUAGCCGACCUGAGAGGGUGAUCGGCCACACUGGGACUGAGACACGGCCCAGACUCCCACGGGAGGCAGCAGUAGGGAAUCUUCCGCAAUGGACGAAAGUCUGACGGAGCAACGCCGCGUGAGUGAUGAAGGUUUUCGGAUCGUAAAGCUCUGUUGUUAGGGAAGAACAAGUGCCGUUUGAAUAAGGCGGCACCUUGACGGUACCUAACCAGAAAGCCACGGCUAACUACGUGCCAGCAGCCGCCGUAAGAC
rnacentral:rRNA from 1 species